GGGAAAGUGGCUCAGUGGUAGAGCACUUGCCUUGCAUGCAAGAGGCCCUGGGUUCGAUUCUUCAACACCA
rnacentral:tRNA from 1 species